GGGGAAUCUUGCGCAAUGGGGGAAACCCUGACGCAGCGACGCCGCGUGAGUGAUGAAGGCCUUCGGGUUGUAAAGCUCUGUGGAGAGGGACGAAUAAGUGUGGUCGAAUAGGCCGCAUGAUGACGGUACCUCUUUAGCAAGCACCGGCUAACUCUGUGCCAGCAGCCGCGGUAAGACAGAGGGUGCAAACGUUGUUCGAAAUUACUGGGCGUAAAGCGCGUGUAGGCUGCUUGGAAAGUCGGAUGUGAAAGCCCUGGGCUCAACCUAGGAAGAGCAUUCGAAACUUCCAAGCUCGAGUUUCGGAGAGGAAGGCGGAAUUCUCGGUGUAGAGGUGAAAUUCGUAGAUAUCGAGAGGAACAUCGGUGGCGAAGGCGGCCUUCUGGACGAUGACUGACGCUGAGACGCGAAAGCGUGGGGAGCAAAC
rnacentral:rRNA from 1 species